CCUACGGGUGGCAGCAGUAGGGAAUAUUGCUCAAUGGGGGAAACCCUGAAGCAGCAACGCCGCGUGGAGGAUGAAGGUUUUCGGAUUGUAAACUCCUUUUGUUAGAGAAGAUAAUGACGGUAUCUAACGAAUAAGCACCGGCUAACUCCGUGCCAGCAGCCGCGGUAAUACGGAGGGUGCAAGAGUUCCUCGGAAUAACUGGGCGUAAAGAGCGCGUAGGCGGGAUAGCAAGUCAGAUGUGAAAUCCUAGGGCUUAACCAUAAAACUGCAUUUGAAACUGGUAUUCUAGAGUAUGGGAGAGGUAGGUGGAAUUCUUGGUGUAGGGGUAAAAUCCGUAGAGAUCAAGAGGAAUACUCAGUGCGAAGGCGACCUGCUAGAACAUAACUGACGCUGAUGCGCGAAAGCGUGGGGAGCAAACAGGAUUAGAUACCCCGGUAGUC
rnacentral:rRNA from 1 species